CAGUAGCCGCGGGAAAACGUAGGGGGCGAGCGUUGUCCGAAGUUACUGGGCGUAAAGCGCGCGUAGGCGGCUUCUUAAGUCUGAGGUGAAAGGUUCAACGCUUAACGUGAACAGUGCCUUGGAUACUGGGGAGCUUGAGUAUGGGAGAGGGCAGUGGAAUGGCUGGUGUGGCGGUGAAAUGCGUAGAUAUCAGUCGGAACACCCAUGGCGAAGGCAGCUGCCUGGCCUAAUACUGACGCUGAGGUGCGAAAGCGUGGGGAGCGAACAGGAUUAGAUACCCCGGUAGUCCCUGUCUCUUAUU
rnacentral:rRNA from 1 species